GUGCUAUGUAUAAAUAUUUAAAAAAUAUUUCAUAUAUUAUUGUUUACUUUUAGAUAUAAGAGUUUGCCAAAUGGUGAAUCUCUCUCUAAUGAUGCCCUAAAAAAAGAGAUAUCUACUUUGAUGGAGAAAUAUAGUAAUAGAGCUGGAACAUUGUAGAAUAUGGGAUCAACACAGGGAAACGAAAAUUUCAACCAGAUUGUGGCAAGCAAAGCCCCAAAGUCACGGUAAAUAUUUGAUAAAAAAACUGGUAACCAGACUGAUGUAUUUUAAUAAUUUGUUUUCAAUUAUUGCUCACCUUAACAAAAUGGUGAAGUGAACUUUUCUCAUAAUUAUUUUCUG
rnacentral:lncRNA from 1 species